UCAAUAGCAGAAACAAUCAUCCUGAGUCCAUGCAAAGGCUUGCUGAGAGGCAACUUGGGGCUCCUAAGCAGAUCCACCCUUUUGCUGGUGGCAAUGUCCAGGGGAUGUACAGUCACGAGCUUGACAUGGGAUUGCGAUACAGAUAGUUGAUCAGGGAACGAGUCGGUAGCUACAUUUGCAACUGGGUACCAUGUUUUCUUUUCCUGGUUUGACUGAGAAUCCGUUGUUACAACUUUACCAUGUUGUACUGCCUUUACCAUCGAACCAAAGAAUUGGAAACCAUGCUGGCCUUCUGCUUUUUAGCAUGAGGUACAGACAUGUAGACUCCUGGAAAGUUGUGUAAUUUUAGAUUUUAUUUUCUUGUACUUGGUAGGGUUUAG
rnacentral:misc_RNA from 1 species